rnacentral:rRNA from 1 species
AUUGAACGCUGGCGGCAUGCUUUACACAUGCAAGUCGAACGGCAGCGGGGCUUCGGCCUGCCGGCGAGUGGCGAACGGGUGAGUAAUGCAUCGGAACGUGCCCAGUCAUGGGGGAUAACUACGCGAAAGCGUAGCUAAUACCGCAUACGCCCUGAGGGGGAAAGUGGGGAUCUUCGGACCUCACGUGAUUGGAGCGGCCGAUGUCAGAUUAGCUAGUUGGUGAGGUAAAGGCUCACCAAGGCGACGAUCUGUAGCGGGUCUGAGAGGAUGAUCCGCCACACUGGGACUGAGACACGGCCCAGACUCCUACGGGAGGCAGCAGUGGGGAAUUUUGGACAAUGGGCGCAAGCCUGAUCCAGCCAUGCCGCGUGAGUGAAGAAGGCC